rnacentral:pre_miRNA from 1 species
AAAGUACUCCCUCCGUCCCAAAAUUCUUGUCUUAGAUUUGUCUAGAUACAGAUGUAUCAAGUCACAUUUUAGUAUUAGAUACAUCCGUAUCUAGGCAAAUCUAAGACAAGAAAUUUGGGACAGAGGGAGUAGUUG